rnacentral:rRNA from 1 species
AUACGGAGGGUCCGAGCGUUAUCCGGAAUCAUUGGGUUUAAAGGGUCCGUAGGCGGGAAUCUAAGUCAGUGGUGAAUCUUGCAGCUCAACUGUAAAAUUGCCAUUGAUACUGGAUUUCUUGAAUUAGUGUGAAGUGGUUAGAAUGUGUAGUGUAGCGGUGAAAUGCAUAGAUAUUACACAGAAUACCAAUUGCGAAGGCAGAUCACUAACACUAUAUUGACGCUGAGGGACGAAAGCGUGGGGAGCGAACAGGAUUAGAAACCCCAGUAGUCC